rnacentral:rRNA from 1 species
GCGCGCGCAGGCGGUUUCUUAAGUCUGAUGUGAAAGCCCCCGGCUCAACCGGGGAGGGUCAUUGGAAACUGGGGAACUUGAGUGCAGAAGAGGAGAGUGGAAUUCCACGUGUAGCGGUGAAAUGCGUAGAGAUGUGGAGGAACACCAGUGGCGAAGGCGACUCUCUGGUCUGUAACUGACGCUGAGGCGCGAAAGCGUGGGGAGCGAACAGGAUUAGAUACCCUGGUAGUCCACGCCGUAAACGAUGAGUGCUAAGUGUUAGAGGGUUUCCGCCCUUUAGUGCUGCAGCAAACGCAUUAAGCACUCCGCCUGGGGAGUACGGUCGCAAGACUGAAACUCAAAGGAAUUGACGGGGGCCCGCACAAGCGGUGGAGCAUGUGGUUUAAUUCGAAGCAACGCGAAGAACCUUACCAGGUCUUGACAUCCUCUGACAACCCUAGAGAUAGGGCUUCCCCUUCGGGGGCAGAGUGACAGGUGGUGCAUGGUUGUCGUCAGCUCGUGUCGUGAGAUGUUGGGUUAAGUCCCGCAACGAGCGCAACCCUUGAUCUUAGUUGCCAGCAUUCAGUUGGGCACUCUAAGGUGACUGCCGGUGACAAACCGGAGGAAGGUGGGGAUGACGUCAAAUCAUCAUGCCCCUUAUGACCUGGGCUACACACGUGCUACAAUGGGCAGAACAAAGGGCAGCGAAGCCGCGAGGCUAAGCCAAUCCCACAAAUCUGUUCUCAGUUCGGAUCGCAGUCUGCAACUCGACUGCGUGAAGCUGGAAUCGCUAGUAAUC